rnacentral:rRNA from 1 species
AACGAACGCUGGCGGCAUGCCUAACACAUGCAAGUCGAACGAACCCCCAACUUCGGUUGGACGGUUAGUGGCGCACGGGUGCGUAACGCGUGGGGAUCUGCCCUUUGCUUCGGAAUAACAGUUAGAAAUGACUGCUAAUACCGGAUGAUGUCGCAAGACCAAAGAUUUAUCGGCAAAGGAUGAACCCGCGUAGGAUUAGCUAGUUGGUGGGGUAAAGGCCUACCAAGGCGACGAUCCUUAGCUGGUCUGAGAGGAUGAUCAGCCACACUGGGACUGAGACACGGCCCAGACUCCUACGGGAGGCAGCAGUGGGGAAUAUUGGACAAUGGGCGAAAGCCUGAUCCAGCAAUGCCGCGUGAGUGAUGAAGGCCUUAGGGUUGUAAAGCUCUUUUACCAGGGAUGAUAAUGACAGUACCUGGAGAAUAAGCUCCGGCCAAAUCCUGGGCCAGCAGCCGCGGUAUAAAACGGAGGGAGCUAGGGUUUUUCGAAUUAGGGGGGAAAAAACGCGGGGGGGGGGUUUUUAUAAAGGGAAAGAGGGGGGGUAACCCCCGGGGCUCAACCCCGGAACUGCCUUUGAAACUAGAUUGCUAGUUCUUGGAUCUUGGAGGGGCAGUGAAUGUCCAAGUGAAGAGGGGAUUUCGUCGUUCGUAGAUAUUCGGAAGAACACCAGUGGCGAAGGCGACUGACUGGACAAGUAUUGACGCUGAGGUGCGAAAGCGUGGGGAGCAAACA